UACGGAGGAUCCAAGCGUUAUCCGGAAUCAUUGGGUUUAAAGGGUGCGUAGGUGGGAUAAUAAGUCAGAGGUGAAAGCUAGCAGCUUAACUGUUAAAUUGCCUUUGAUACUGUUAUUCUUGAGUGUAGUUGGCGUUGGCGGAAUGUGACAUGUAGCGGUGAAAUGCGUAGAUAUGUCACAGAACACCGAUCGCGAAGGCAGCUAACGAAGCUAUCACUGACACUGAUGCACGAAAGCGUGGGGAGCAAACAGG
rnacentral:rRNA from 1 species